CCUACGGGUGGCAGCAGUGGGGGAUAUUGCACAAUGGGGGAAACCCUGAUGCAGCGACGCCGCGUGUGGGAAGACGGUCCUCUGGAUUGUAAACCACUGUCCCCAGGGACGAAGAUGACGGUACCUGGGGAGGAAGCUCCGGCUAACUACGUGCCAGCAGCCGCGGUACUACGUAGGGAGCGAGCGUUGUCCGGAAUUACUGGGUGUAAAGGGAGCGUAGGCGGGACUGCAAGUUGGGUGUCAAAUCUACCGGCUCAACCGGUAGCCGCACUCAAAACUGCAGUUCUUGAGUGAAGUAGAGGCAGGCGGAAUUCCUAGUGUAGCGGUGAAAUGCGUAGAUAUUAGGAGGAACACCAGUGGCGAAGGCGGCCUGCUGGGCUGUGACUGACGCUGAGGCUCGAAAGUGUGGGGAGCAAACAGGAUUAGAUACCCUUGUAGUC
rnacentral:rRNA from 1 species